UAGGGAAUCUUCCGCAAUGGACGAAAGUCUGACGGAGCAACGCCGCGUGAGUGAUGAAGGUUCUCGGAUCGUAAAGCUCUGUUGCCAGGGAAGAACGUCUUGGAGAGUAACUGCUCUAAGAGUGACGGUACCUGAGAAGAAAGCCCCGGCUAACUACGUGCCAGCAGCCGCGGUAAUACGUAGGGGGCGAGCGUUGUCCGGAAUUAUUGGGCGUAAAGCGCGCGCAGGCGGCUGUUUAAGUCUGGUGUUUAAUCCUGGGGCUCAACCCCGGGUCGCACUGGAAACUGGACGGCUUGAGUGCAGAAGAGGAGAGUGGAAUUCCACGUGUAGCGGUGAAAUGCGUAGAGAUGUGGAGGAACACCAGUGGCGAAGGCGACUCUCUGGGCUGUAACUGACGCUGAGGCGCGAAAGCGUGGGGAGCAAACAGGAUUAGAUACCCCCGUAGUCC
rnacentral:rRNA from 1 species